rnacentral:miRNA from 1 species
UUUUGUUUUUGCUCCCAUUUUUUAUGAGCUGAACUCAAAGAUCUAAGACUUUUUCUAUGUACACAAAAGGCAUAUUUCUCUCAAAUAAUGUUCACGAAUAUGUCUAAAUCUGUGUUAGUGAGCAAUUCUCCUUUGCCAAGUUCAGCUCAUGAAAAAUGGGGGAAAAAACAAAAG